UACGGGGGGGGGCAAGCGUUGUUCGGAAUUACUGGGCGUAAAGGGCUCGUAGGCGGCCAACUAAGUCAAACGUGAAAUCCCUCGGCUUAACCGGGGAACUGCGUCUGAUACUGGAUGGCUUGAGUUUGGGAGAGGGAUGCGGAAUUCCAGGUGUAGCGGUGAAAUGCGUAGAUAUCUGGAGGAACACCGGUGGCGAAGGCGGCGUCCUGGACCAACACUGACACUGAUGAGCGAAAGCCAGGGGAGCAAACGGG
rnacentral:rRNA from 1 species